CCCAAGCAGGCUCCGCGCUGUCAGCACAGAGCCCAAGCCAGGGCUUGAUCUCACGAACUGUGAGAUGAUGACCUAAGCCGAAAUCAAGAGUCAGACACAUAACUGACUGGGCCACCCAGGCACCAUGUGAGCAAUUUCAAACAGUGUCUGAUAAAAUAUCCCUCCCCGCAAAAAUAGUGUUGUUAUUCUAAGUUCUCAACAGUUGGCAUAAUGGCUGUUGAGUUUUAAUAAAAUAUAUAUAGACUUUUUGGCAUAUUUUUAUUACCUAUCCUUUCCUAAACAUUGUAUUCUCUGUGAAAGGUCACUUGGAGAACUCCCAGUAGGCAGUUGGGCCCCCCACCCCGCCCACUGAACACAUGCUUACCCAGCCACACGGUUUAUUUCGGGAGUACAUUCAUCAUAAUGGUCGGGAAGUAUCCAAGCUCACUUAGGGUGCUGUCCCUGUCUCCAACACCCCCCACCGAGGUGUGACAUAUUCCUCUUUUUAAAAAUAGUAUAUCAAUUUAGUGGAAUAUGAUCAACAAGAAUAAGGCAGAUCUAUAUAUAACGAUACAAAAAUAACCUCCAAUAUACAGCGUUCAGCGAAAUAAGACUAUACAGAACACUGAAAAAUAUUUGAAAAAGUGACAUGUAUGUACGUAUGUAUGUUUUAUACAUGAAUAGAAUCUCUCAAAGGACAAAUAAGAAAUGCUAGAUUCAGAAAGAACAGUAGGGGCCUCUGGGUGGCUCGAUCGGUUAAGCUCCUGACUCUUGAUCUCAGCUCAGGUCUUGAUCUCAGUGUCCUGAGUUCAAGCCCCAUGUUGGGCUCCAUGCUGGGCAUGGAAUCUACUCCCAGUGUGGAGCGUACCUAAAACAAAACAAAACAGCAACAACAACAAAACAAGAUGAAUGGUAGUACAGUGAUCUUAAAGACAAAGACACAUACUUGAGCUACCUCAAUUCUGUCAUCCGCGUGACUGCUUGGCGAUUUCGUGGAUGUUAAGAAUUUAGCCCAGCCGAGGCCGAGGGUGAAUGGGAAGGUGUAACAUUUUUAGUUGGUAGUGCAAAUGUUAGUUCAUACAUGAAAUGUUUCACGGAGUCCAAGCGCUGUUUUUCACAGUGGCAUUCGUUUCUCUUUCUCAGUUGUUAAUGGUUCAUUUUAAAGCUAACGAACUCAUCAAGAGGGUAAUGGCUAUUACCGAUUAUUAUGUGAUUCUUAGAUGAAUAACUUGGCCGCAUAGAGAGGGGAGUUUUAAAAACCGAUUUGCUCUGGGUGUCUGAUCCACUGCAUGCCUGACUUUUAAUCAGGACAUAUGUUUUCUACAAAGGACAGGGCUGUACUUGGCCAUGCACUUGCCCAAGAAGGCAGUGCCUCCUCACGUAAUUCCUGGUGGGUCCUUCCUAAUCCCCUCCCCUGGUGAGCCUUGCAUCCUAGAAUUACAAAGGACCUCUCUCCAUUGGCUUUUUGGGACUUCAUGAUGGACUGAGGCAUGAGCCAAAUGGGUUUCGGCUGUGCCAAUACAGUGCAACCCCCCCCCCCCCACCGCCACGCUGGCCUUCUUCGGGGGUCAGGAAGGAGCAUGUGCAACCAAAGAUCCCCAGCUGAUCACUUUCUGUUUUGAGCGACAGCCUCCCAUCUACCCCGGGGUGGGGGGGCCCACACAAAUACGAUGUCGUAUGUGUGCCCUUUUGUGCAAAACCUUGGGAAGCACGGCUUGGGGGGCAAAGACAGUGCCAUUCUUGGCCGUUUGGGAGAAAUGGAUCUGUUUUGUGCAGAUAAGAAAACGGUGGUUUGGCGUGUUUCGUUGCCUGGUGAAAUUACCCGGUGGUUCUGUCGCUUCCAGAUCAAUCUGAGUGUGAGCCAUCGGCAACCCGUGCACAGCGUGUGGCCGGCUGAAAAUGCAUCGUCUCUCGACGUGAAGCUCAGCUAUUUUUCCCCAGCUUGGGUUGUUGUGUUGUUUUCUGCUUCCGCCUACAGCCUCUUCACGUCCUCUCGGGGACGUGCUCGGUGACAUAGCACAGCUGCACACGCGGCCGUUCUUUUUCUUCCCGAAAUGAGGGGAAGGCUCUGUGGCUCCAGUGCCCUGUGAUGCAGGCCGUCCAAGAGAUGUCACAGUACGACGGUCGGGACCCCAGUUUCUGCGGAGAUGGCACCACCCGUGCCUGAGGGUGAUGGUGACAGCUUACAGUAGGUGUCCGAUUGUGACACAUGAGUGAAAUGGAAGUCACCAUUCCUUUCGGGGGGAUUUACAAGCUGUCGAUUGAACCAUCCGGGAUUCAUUCACAUUCUGCUGAGGUUUCGUGUUCUCUUCCUACAGGUAAUGAAUGAGGUGCGGGCAGCAUAGAGGGGUCGAAGCCAGAGCACAAUCCGUGGUCGGUAAAGUGCGUUCGGUCAACAAAUAUUUACGGGAGAUCUCUGUGUCGGGCGCUGAGCCGUGUGCUGGGGUGCUUUACUCGGCAAGAUGCUCAGCAUGGUCACGAAUUCUGUCAUUGUGGCAAAUGUGCUCACAUAAGUUUGUUCUGUCGACGGCAGUGAGCUCAAGGAUUUAAAAAAUCCACAGUACGACCCACAGACCUUCAUGUCUUGCAGGCGGACCAGCUGCGCCCAGGGCGUGGGGACAGGCUGGAUGCGGGAUGCACCAAACUACCGAGCCCACCAAGGAUAGUGGCCCACUGCCCCUGGAGUUUUGUGGAAUGGCAGGAAGUUGGAGCUGAAAGUGGCCUGACGUUCACGUCCUCCGACGGCCUCAUCUGCGACAUGGAGAAGGAGGCGACGCGUGUUUGCAUCUCGCUUGCGGGAGCCUCGGUUAAUCCGUAAACCCCUCUGAGACAGGAAAUGUGAUCCGAGGUCAGCUCUGUUGUCCAAACGAGUAGGUGGGGAGGCAGGCUUCAAACCCGGUUCUCAGGCUGACUCUGAAACCCACACUCUUGGUAGCACAUGGCACCCCCUCCCCCCGGGGCUUUGUCUGGCAGAGGUCAAGCCGUGCUGAAAGUAUGCUGACCCCCAUCUAAGUCUUUUUUAGGUCAACUCUCAUUGUAAAUGUUUUCUCUUUGAUUUUGCAACCCUCGGCAAUUAGUUACCAGGGCUGCAAAGGGAAGAUAAGGUCGCAAGAGAGGAACCUCCCAUCUGGCCCUAGUGAACCACGGGCAAUUUCCGAGUGGCUCCCGGGCUGUCAAAUGCAGUGACCCCACGAGGCGAACACUGAGGCCACACCGUAGAUGGAGAAACUGAGGUGGCUCCAAAUCAGCUUUCUGCUGCUGCUUCGGGAUCUGAUACCAGCUUGGACGGUGGCCAUGUCCCUCUGGGAAGCCAGCUGUCAACUGCUGAGGCCAUUGGUGGACAGAUCUACAGACGAGUGUGAGGAACAAGUUCUACUGUUGGCAACGACCCACCCGUGUGUGACAGCAGAGCCAUCUUAGAAGGAGACCCUCCCACCCCAGUGAAGCAUUCAGAGGACUGUAGCCUCUGCUGACAUUUUAACGACAAUCUCAGGAGAGACACUAAACUGGAACCAUCCAGCUAAUUCACUCUUGGAUUCCUGACCCACAGAAACUGCAACAUAAGAAAUGCCAUUGCUGUUUUAAGCGGCUAAGCGUAGGCUAAUUUGUUACACAGCAGCAGAUGCCUAAUACAUCCACCAUAGGUCACAGGGACUUGGGAGUCAGUCCGGACUCAGGUACAGGUCACACUUCCCAGAGUUUUCAUCCAACACUGCUGCCUAUCUGCCUGUUUCUCCCCGUGCUGCCUCUGUUGACGUGCAGGCUCUAACGGGGGCACUUGGUCCCUUACGUGCCUGCGACUUGCUUCAUGGCGGGAGUCCAGGCUCGGAGCUUCACUUCACACUGGCGCGGUGUGGAAGCUGGAAUACUCCCUCACGACGGCCCUCGGACUGUGAAUAGACACGAAGGGCGAUGCUGAGUCAGGCAGCAGGCUGGCAGGAGGGCACACGUCAGCGGGCCGGCUUCCAGAGCCCCGGCUUGCCGCGCUCCCAGCCGCCUCCUCCUGAAGCUUCACCUCCCAUGGUGAUUCCGCAUGGAGGCCACCUCCGAUGCACACAGAACCUGGUCCCACAGGCACAUACGAGAGACCGAGAACUCUGAAUUUCAAACCAGAGAAGUCCGGGGCUGCCACGUUUGGCCCCGACUCAGCAGAGCCACCCUAUACUAGAAACCCUACUCGAAGAGCUUGGAGCACACAGUGCUUGGCACAUAUCCAGCCAACGAGUAACUGAGGGGCCGCGCUCUGACACCCUCUGCCCUGUUCAGAGAACCUCGGGGAGGGGAUGGCACCGUGGGGCUCACACUUCCAGAGGGACAUGGGAACGUUGGAGCAGGCAUGGGCGUGAAUGGUGAGGCUGGUGACACGUGAGGGCUCUCACUCUGCAGGGGAGGCCCGCACGCACGUCGUAGUCUGGAAAUCGUCCACGGGCCCUCUUGUGCCCACUCAGGAUCUAAGGUCUGCGAAGGGCGGGAGGGUCUUUGUGAGACACCUGUCAUGAAGAAAGAUGUGUCAUCGAUGCUGAGGCACAACCACGGCCCUCGGGAGGAGAUGAGCUGCCUGGUCCAGGAGUCGCCCGGUCCCGGCCAGAUGGGAGGGAUGAGGGUAGGAAGACCAGUCGGUGGACUAGUCCGGUCGGUGGACCACACUCCACGAAGUCCUUUGGAGGCUGCAGUCUUGAGUGUCCCCCAUGAGGAACAUCGAUGGGCUGGGUGCAGGGAAGUCCUGCCCUCGGAUGUCCUGCCCAGGGCCUCCUGGUGUGUGGCCUGCCUAUGCCUGAUACCAAUGGCGUGUUGGCCUUGACCGACGGUCCCUGGUUCUUCAGUGCUUUUGCAGACAGCAGGGAACACACAUGUCCGCGCGGAAGAGUGGGGAACCGUUUUCUGACGUGUCACGGCCAGGAGUUGGCAGUUACCCACUUUCAGGAGCAGCGACGGUGUCCCCACCUGCGGGGAUGGUGAGGCGCAUCCAAUCCCGGGGCUCUGAUCAGGUGAGAAGUCCAAUGAAACCCAAACGUCCUCUGGACAAGGCUGCUCCGUGAAAUAGAGCUGCCCCUCAGUGAGUCUGGCUGUCUCUCCGGGCCCCUCGCCAAGCCUCAGAAGCACCUUAACUCGAAGCCCUGCUGAUUCAAAGCACCGCCUUCUGUUCUGGGCAAGCCUUGGCCAGGAAAAGUCAGCUUGCCGGGACCACGCCUAAACAAAGGAGCCAAAGAUACACCCAAAAUCGAAGCCACAUCCCGUGUUCUCCAAAGAUGAUGGCUUUUCUGUUCCCUGCAGCUGAUUACGAGGGCCCCUCACCGGACAACGGAUCUCUCUGGGCCACCCAGCCACGCAGGGGAUAAGACAGCUUCUGAAAUACAGAAUAUUUUUGGAGCUCUGAUCCCGACUCCCACUAGACCGCCUCCUCCUCGGAUUCUCGGUGGCUCAUCACAUCCCUCCGUCUGUGACCAGAAACGGGCGGGGGGGGGGGGGAACGAGUAGACAAGAAGGCCGUCGCCGACCAGGCCCACGGCUUCCCAGAGGGAAAGCGGUUGGAAGCACAGCGCUUUGCGUGUCAGCCGUCGCAGAGCAGGGGCCGAGGCAGGCGAUGGAGGAAGACGGGAGGUGAAGCUGGCAUCAGAGCCUUCUCUGGCGGAGCGAUUCCCGAAGACACUGCUGAUGAACCGCAGCCUGUCUGGGAGCCCCCCGCCCCGGGCCCCCCGCCCCCUCCUCUUCUGUGCAGAGAAAGGUAGCCGGGGAGCUGUUGCAUGGCUGGGGUGCCGUCUGCCCUGGCCCCUAUCGUUUCGCCUCUUGGCUUGGGUCCCAGGCCCCACGAUGGGCCGGCGGCUGGCUAAGGCCACAGAUGAGCUGAGUAGCUACACGGUAUGGCUUGGGAGCAUUUCAGCAUGGCGGGAAGGGAGCGUGCUUUGCAGGCGAAUGGCCCCAGCGUCCUGGCCCAGCCCUCUCUCCUUUGAAAUCCAACUGCAUUCUGGCACUUUGCAUUACUUAGGGUAACACGGGCAGCAGUAACAAAGAACCCCUCCGAUGUCGCAGCCUUAGCACUGAUAUUUACGUCCAGUUCAGGACAGUGGGUGACCGUCCUCAGGUGGCGAUUCAGGAGCCCAGGCUCGCCGACCCCUAGGGCCUCGGAGAUCUCCGCGGGGAGGGUGAGCGAAAGCGCAGGUUACAUGAGCCUCAAACGACGCACCUCACUUCUACUCACGUUUCAUUGUCGGGAGGAUGGGGAAACGUAAUCCGAGGGAGAACUUCGUGCUGUGGCCGGGAGGGGGCCAGUGUCGCUGUCACAAUAAUGGGGUAAACUUUCAAAGCUUCGAUUUCCUCGUCUGUAAACAGAGACGUGGAACCAACAGCCGAGAGUUACCAGGAAGACGAGAGCUGAUGUCUGCGAUGCGACUCAGCCAGUGCCUGACGUGGAUCGGGGGCUGUGAUUACAGCCAGAGGGACAGGGGCUGUCUCAUCAGCUGGAGCCGGGGCGAUCGAAGCUCACGCCCACGUGUCCAUCCUGUGCUUCUGCAGAAAGAGGUUUCUUACGUGAGACUGUUAUGCAACGUGCGUGCUGGAUUGUGGUUAAUAUGGGAAUGCUGGUCUCCGUCAUGAUGAUUAUUAGGUAACGUGCAUUACGUACUGUGAUUAUGUUGUAAAUGCAAGUGAACCGCUCACUCUACCAAACGUCCCAUGGACUAAAAUUCCGGGGGCAUCGACCCAAGCUUUGGACUAUUUUCCCAUUGUUUGCUAUCUUUGAAAAGGCCUUUGUUAUCAAAGCGGUAGAGAUCAUUGCAAAAAUUGCCAACACACAGAUGGCUCUAAAGUGGAACUUAAAAGCCUUCUCCCCACACUCGGUGCCCCCUCUCUUACCGUUGUUGGAUAAGCAACUAUCGUUAACGCUUUCGGUAAAUCUUUCCAGAAACACUCUACGUUUAUACACAAGCAUAUUUAAGUCCUCUCCUUUUGCACAAAAGCGAAUCAUGCUAACGUGUUAUUCCACAACUCCUUUUUCUUUUUCUCUGCUUUCGCAUCUGCUCUAACUCAAUAGUAUUCCAUCGUGGAAUGAGCCACAGUUUCUUUAACCAGAGAUGAGAGGUUUAGUGCGAAGUAAAAAGGCACCAAACCCCUCUUUUCUCCGUGUGAGUUGAUGGCUAACUCCCCAAGCUGACCUCCCCACCAGAUUUCAGGUGUCCUGUGAAAUCGCAGUCCCAUCCGGGUGCACCCAGGGUCCGCGUGCCUCCUACCGGGGCAUCCCCUCAACAUCCCAGGAUGUGAAUGGCUGUGGUUCAGAAAACGAGGAUAAGGGCCUGGGGGUGGAGUAAGUUGUCAAAAGUCUUCAGGAACUCCUUCCUUGUGCCCGUAGCCUCUAGCUGGUUCAAAAAGGUAAAACGCUCUUUCUUGUCCCCUCCGGGGCAUGGGGUACGCUUGGUUCAACUUCAGAGAUCUGGGCCCAGAGAUUGGCGAUCCGAAAAGGAAUCCUAUACUGUCGCUCAGGUCAUUUGGAUGAAGACUUCUUAAUGUAGGGAGAAAACCAAGUGGUCCUUGCAACUUCACGGGUUUUCACUGGGCGUUUGGAGAUCUCGCGGGUUCUGUGUUCAGCGAGGCUGUGAAAAUGAUUCUGUGCACACAUCACUUGUCCAAGCCAUGGGAACCCAACCGGCUUCGGCCCUAGGAGAGUAUUUUCCAGUUUUCAAACGUUCGUGUGCCACCUCUGAUUUCCUUGUUUCCAUCUCUGCAGACGGCAAAGCCUUGGAGUCACAGGUUGGGUGUGUUUAUAUUCUUUGGAAUAAACACGUCACAAUAAAUAAACUCCUUUAAAAAAAAAAAGGCGUGAUCGUUGCCCCACCGCACCUUGGCAAUUGCUGCCCAAGUGACUCGUAAAUCUUUUCGAGGGAGAUGUAUUCCUUCGGACAAUUUAGAAGGAGAUUUGUGCUAUAAGAAAACAACCUCUGUUGAUUCUCCUGCAUCAGCACAGGAUGAUAUUUUUGGCCACAGUGAUCCUCAUGGAAUGUUUUUUGCUUUUUCUGGAAAGCAGAUAAAUGCCUCCCUUCCCAAUUACCACUGAGGAUAAGUAGUAAAGAGUCAGGGAGUGUCCAGGGACUCCUGCUCUAGCAGAUGUAGAGAUCUUUUUAUUGCCUUCAGUGCACUGGGCCAGGCUCACAUUAGUCCUAUUUUUAGCCUUUCGGACUGACUUGGUGAAUCUGGCCUCCUUUUCCAACGGAUCGUAUUAACGAACUGCAGAUGGGGCCCUAAUUGAUUCUUUUCUAUCACAAUUAUUUGCAGGCAAAUGUCCUCAAUGUCUCCUUGGUGAAUAGUCACCUAGUUUCUGAAAGCCCUGCUCGGUCUGGGAACAGGUUUUCUCUUUGGCUUGGACACCAGAGGAGAGACUAUCCUAGAAGGAUUCACUGAUGCGCUUGGAUGCAUACACGGCACCUCUGGCGGGCGUGUUGAGGGUCUGGAAUCUCGGCGGUUCUGCGUUCAGUUACACGGAGAUGUUGGCACCUAGCGUCUCGGUGGACCAGGCAAGGGCCGCAUUACUGAAUGACGUUUAGAAGCACUUCCCCCACCGAUUAACACGCUCACGAGCUCCAUUCGUCCAGCAGUCUGCCCCAAGUGAGUCUUCUCCUCCCCGCCACACCUGGAGGUAUCGCUGUAGGUCGAUCCCCGAAGGCAUUUUUAUUUUAUAUCCCACAGACUUUUCCUUAAAAGGCUCUCAAUUUACUCUUUGGAAUUCUGGGACCAGUCUCCUCCGUGUGACCAAACGCUGGCAGCGGGUCGGGGGGUUAGCACUGUGUUCUUUUUCUUUUAAAGUUUAUUUGAGAGCGAGCGAGCAGGGGAGGGGCAGAGGCGGCAGGGGGGGAGGAGAGAGAAUCCCAAGCAGGCUCCACACUGUCAGCGCAGAGCCCGAUGCGGGGCUCGAACCCACGAGCCAUGAGAUCGUGACUUGAGCCGAAACCAAGAGUCGGAUGCUUAACUGACUGAGCCACCCAGGCGCCCCUAGCAUUGUGUUCUAAUAUAAACGGCGGCGUGAGUUUGCACGCACAACCGUGCAAGGUGCUGUCCGUCCACACCGAGGGAAGCCACAGAUGGCACUGACACAGAAUUGCUGCUGAGUCAGGCGGGGCACUUACUCAACCGACUGGUGCAGAGAACCAUAGGGAGUGAUGAAGGACAAAACUUCACCCCUGUUCGUACUCCAAACAAACAUCUGUCUGUUUUCCGGUGAGUUACAAUCGAUCAGUCAGUCAACAAACCAAGAAAUGAUGUCAUGGAUGUUUUCUAAGACGCCAGACGCCGUGUUAAGUGCGUUCCAUCCUGACUCCAUAGCAGCCCCUGUGCAAGAACGUGGUGACUUACACGUUCCCAUAGCAGCCCUAGAAGCUCUGUACUGUUUUCGUCCCCACCUCACAGAUGAGGAGACAGCCUCACAGAAAGCACCGAUCGGGGCUCAUCAAUCAGACAGCCGGAUUUGUCCAGCUCGGUGCUUCAUCCAGGGCACCAGUGUUUCCUCCGUCACACGGAGGGACUUGCUGUCACCCAGGAUGCACAUGGUCACAUCCGUUCCGUGUCGGAUGCUUUCAACCAGGAGACAAUUUAUGUGUUGAUCUAGUUAAACGUAUAAUUUGAAAGCCAAAGCUUCUAUAUAAAACAUCAUAGCCUCAUUUUCAGGUCUGACAACUUUUACUAUAUUAUUAUCUGCCCUUUGGGUUAUUCGAGUGCCUGUCCAUCAUGGAAAUCACAGAGUUACCUUAUUUUAUGUUCAGGCACUGACAUACGACAUGGUUUUAGCUUCAGGUACGCAUAAUGAUUCGAUAUUUGUAUGUAUUGCGAAACGAUCACCGCAAUAAACCUAACUCACAUCUUUCACCACA